GUGAAGCGAACCCUCCGGAUCCUGAACGGGCGUAAGGUCUCCUUCCUGUGUGGAGACGCAGGCCCUCUGGCUGUGGGAGCCGUGGUUCAUCACAAGCUGAGGAACACUGAGGAGAGCCAGGACUGCCUGAACAGAGUUCAGUCCUCAGUGACUCUGAUGAACUCCUGUACGGUCGCGCUGGCUUCCUGUUCGCUCUGCUGUACGUCAACAGAGAGAUGGGAGAGAACACGGUGGAGGAGAGCACCAUCACUCAGAACUGAUCUCCGUUUGGACACAACUGUCAUCCCUCUGUAGAUUCUACGCAGCCCGGAGGCAAUCUUUUUCACCGUCCCACCAGCGAGGCGGCGGCGGAAGGAGAGGAGACAGAAGCGUGGUAAGUGAGCCGGGCUAAGGUCUAGGCUAAAGGCUAACCCGUACAGACCGGCGCUUCCGAUCAUCACAGAGAUCUGGCUGAACCACAACAUCUACACAAACAUUCCAGGGGCAUUUAAAGCAACAUAAUCCCCACAUCUUGGACAAUCUGACCACAUCUCACUAAUUAUGAUUCCAGCUUACAAACCACAUAUCUGCAAAACAAAACCAGCUAUCAGGACAGUACAAGUGUGGUCUGAGGAAGCCACCUCAUUGCUGCAAGACUGUUUUGAACACACAGACUGGGAUUUGUUUGCUGAGGGGUUAGAUCUUGGGGAAUACAGCAGCUGCGGCGCCAGGAUUUAAAUUUUGGGUGGGCCAAUGUAAUUUCGGCUGGGCCUGUUCUAACAGAUGUUUCUCGUUAACAAAAAUAAAAUGUAAAGAAAUGCCUGCAUAUCAUUGUAGGCAACUGUGUAAUGCAUAUUUCCUAUAGUAAAGACACUUUUUCUAAACCCUUCUCUUUUAAACAUUUUCACUUAUAAGAAGCUUAAAUAUUAUUUAAAUAAUUAAAGGUGGGGUAGGUAAGUUUGAGAAACCGGCUCGAGAUAAUCUUUUAUGCCCUUUCCCUGUUAGGUUCUGCAGACAGUCCCAGAUUUGUUUAUGAUUUGUGACAUGUUAACCAUUAUUUAUACAGCUUAUCUACACAUAUGCUGACCAGCUGCUGCUGGUAGUGCCCAAAACCAGGCUCAAAACCCGAGGGCACCGAGC